rfam:Neotoma lepida isolate 417 scaffold_22411, whole genome shotgun sequence.
GACUCUGCAUCUUGGGAGAAGGGACAAGCAGGGACAAAAAAGAUCUAUCAGGGAGGGAAUCUCUCUGAAGAGGCUCUUGUUUUAAGUACUCCCAUUGUUUUUUCACUGACCUGGUGAGGCUGGGGGGUGUGUGCUAAGGGGCUCUCACUCUGGCGCCAAGCACAGGUCCAUGUGUGUGCAGGAGGGCACGAUCUGCUCCAGGGACAGUGCCAGGUGGAGAGUUUGAUGAGGUAUACUUGUCAAACGGUAAUGGUACACCUGUACUAAGAAGAAUUCAGGGAGGACAGAAACCUCCCAUGGCAAAAGAGCAAAAGCUUGAUCUUGAUUUCAAUAUAAAUACAGACCAUGAAAAAGGAGCCCUUUUAGGCCAGGGUGAGUCCAGACAAGGCUUUCAAAA